UCUGACACUCCUCUAGAUGGACAUACUGGCUUGCUCCUUUCUGUGGAAUAUCCACUGCUGUCCCUGUAAAGUCAGUGUACUGCUUUGGCUGUUCCAGGACUUCAUUAUCUGUAGAUACUGUUUGGGUAUGGAAACUUUGCUGCGGCUGCAGGAAAAGACUACUAUUUAAGCAUCUUGAUCACCACAUUAUGUAAGUGGGACCAUGCACAUCCAGAAAUGUGUGACCUCCCAGCAGCAUAUGGAAGGGUUCCACUGCUCAGAAGAACGGGACGGGCUGGUGCAGAACAGAGCUCUUGGCUUCGGUGCUCAGCCUGGCUAGCCAUGAGGUGCAAGUCUGCGACGGGAGCACAGAAUUAGCAUCUUCAUUUGCCAGCACCACCCAUUCCAGUUGUUCUGAACUGAGAAAGAUCAUGAAGAAGAAAAAAUUCCUUUAGCUUCCUGUUUCUACUACUCUAAUGGUUUAAUCACACACAUUUGGAAAUACUUUCCCUGCCUGGAGUUGAUUCAGUGUGCUGGACUACUCCCGCAAGGGCUAACACAACAUAAGGAGAGCAGUGUUGGACAAUGGAACCAGAACAAUUGCUUUUGUGGGAGUUUGGCUCAUUGCAGGGGCAAUCUACGACGGAUGCUUUACGCUACUGGCAGACUUCGGAUAUUUUGCAAAGGCUGUGUUUUCAUAGCCCCACUUCUUUUUGAGGUUAUCUCACCAAAAAGGCUCUGCUACUGUUUUAGCCCUUUGUCUUUCUGUAGACCGCUGCUUUCCAAAUGGGUCCAGAGACCAUGUAAGAAGGCCCACGAGCAAUGGCCUGAAAUGCCCUAAGGAGCCAUGCAGGAUCGUUCUGGCCUGAGAGCUGAAUGCUCAGUGUGUACGAAAUGCUCAGGGAUGAAAGCGGUUCACUGGUCCUCGAAUCUCCAGGGAUGCCUGGGAGAGUCCUUGGGCAGCACCAGCAGGACUGAGCCCAGCUGUGCUGAAGAGAGAGUAGAAGAGUCUCUGCCCUACGUAGCUGCUCCCUAAAAAAGAGCAUGUUUGAUCUGCUGUGAUAAAGCUGUGCAUUUUCUCUCUCAAGUGAAAAUAAGGGGAUCUCUCUUUUAUCCCUUUCUACUUUCAGCAAUGCUUCCAUUGAGUGUGGACAAUUCAUCACCAAGUGCUGUGCCAGCUCCUCAUAAAGCACAAGCCAAUGAAAGCUUUGCUGAAUAUAGAAAACAUCCGAGCAAGUGAAACAAAGUAGUUUUAUAAUAAGCCCAGUCUUUCCUAACCUGCAUGUACAAUUGCCACAGCUACUGGAGAUGUACAUGGUAAAGGCCAUUUAGAUUUCAGACUGGUUGUUUGAGAGCAAAAUUCAAAGCAAGUACAAUUAUGACCCUCAGUUCUGAUGCUGAAGAAAGGCACAUCCAGUUCAACCAAACCUUUGGCUAUACACGUGUCUGUGGCUUCAGCUUUCACCUGCCUCAUAAAGACUCAAGUGUCAGGCAAGAAUCGUCCCGUAAAUGUAGUUCUGGGGUAUCAUUUAUAGAUACCCACCUUGUGUUAGACUGGUUCUUUUUUACAGGGCUGGAGACGAAUCAAGAGGGAGAGUGUGACCUCUUAUGAAACAGGUCCUGCACAUCUCCACUGUUCUGCAUAAACACAAAGAAACCUUAGCUCCUUUUUUAAAAAAACUUUGGUUGGGAUGUAAGUGAAAUGCUCACCCUCAGCAGCUCUCAGCUCAAUAGAAUCCCAGAAAUGAGACUCCUCACCUACAGUGGACAAGAUUUGGGGGUAUGAGGCUUGCAGAUGCUUUGCUCAAAGGUUACAAAAGCAAGCAGAGUGAGGCAGAGGCAGCAGACUGCUGCCUGUAAGGCCUGUUCGGCAGGACACUUUAUCAUCCCUAAAACCUCACAAUGUAACAGAAGGAAAAGGCAGCAAAGUAGUUUCUUCCAGACUGGGGAAUCAAUUGCAUCCUUCCCAGAGGGGCCAGAGUGCUAGGCAUCCCCCCAAAUCCAUAUCCUUGCAAUGGCCCCACCUUUGCAUUAACACUCAUCUUGGCUUGUUUCCUGGGUGAGCAAAGCCUGCACAUUAUAACAAGUGGUUUGCUUGUUCGUCUAUUGGUGCAGUCCCUGUCCUGCCCCCUCUGCUGGCGUGUUCCUCUGUCUCCCCACUGCUAGUAAUCACAAUUCACCCACCAGUCUGCAAAGAGCUGCCCAAAGCUCUGCAGGCAAAAAAUCACUCUGGCAGGCCCUAGGCAGUGUACUAUAUAUCACAGUGACUGGCAUCUUUAACACAUAAAGCCAUACUUGAAACUGUAGCAUCCUGGAAGGAUGUUAUUAGAUGCCAAAAUAGUAGUAACUAUAAAUACUGUGCACCCUGCAUGUGACACAGUGCUCACCUGAGCUUGAGCCCUGGGUUAAGGACACCAAAGAUGAUAGCAAAGAAAAGGGAACAGCAGUCUGUGUUUCAGAUCUCCUCUUGCCUAAUUCUAGAGGGGGUGAGCCUCUAUUUCCACAGAUCAAAGUGUUUGAAAUAACACUUGCUGUCUACAAUGCCCCUGGUGAAUCAGGAAAGCAAUCAGUUGCUUACCUUCUGAAGAGCAUCAAAAGCGUCCAGAGUGUCUGCCCAUAAGGCAAGUGGUCAUAUUCCUCCAAGUUCUUUAGUUUGGCCUGGUAGUGUCCUCUGCAAAUAAAGCCAUGCUGUGUCUCAGGAUUUUGGAAAGUAAUUAAUUUAGGUACUGCUGCAUGUCACAUCUCAACAAAUGCAUUUUGAGCUGCUGCCUUCUCUAAGAAGUUAUUUUCCUACUUCGAAUUAUGUGCAAAUCAUGUUCAUAUGCCUGGUCUUAUAUUUCUGGUAAUAUCAUCCUAGUAUCAGUACUCAGGAAGGUUAGCAGACUAGUCAGGAUGGAAAGUGAAGCCCAUGAGUUAAACUGCAGGCUAUGCUGAGAGCUAGGAAAACUUUUCUGAGGGCUUCAGCUCUGUCUGGGGUCUGUUUUCUUCCCUUGCUUUCUAUGAUAGUUACUCUGUUGGGUUGCUGUCUACCCUACUCCUUAGAAAGGACACCGUUUUUCAGCCUUGCACAAACAGGGAAAGCUUGUUCUUGCCAUGGUAACACCAGUUGUUACUGCACUGCUAAGAGAAUACAGAAAAGAAAUAGAAACCUAAUGAGAAAUUCAAGAAAGAUUUUGGAAUUGUUUUGACCUGCAAGAAAUGCAUGGCCUAAACUGACAGUAGAAAUGCAGCUUUACCCAAGGAACUGCUCCCUUUCAGAAGUGGAUUUGUGGAAUAACAUAUAGCAGUAACAUGUAGCAGAUGCCACUAUUGUGGCCUCUAAUAAUAUCGAGCAUUACAAUUGCUAGCUGCGUACACAGCCUUAACGGGUCAUUGCUGUUGCCGUUUGCAGCAGCAUAGGUCGGCAAAGGAUCCUUCUGGGACACUACAGUUUCAAGUAAUAAUUAGCUUUUAUUUGGGAAGUCAGUUCUGUGCCAAGAGACAAUCCGAAGCCUGUCAUCUGUUUAAAAGCUUUUGCAGAAAAUAUGGUAAAAUUCUGUAAUUUUCUAAUUCUUAUGAAUUUUUCCCCCUCAGUGUUGCACUGCAACCUACCAAUAGUAAUUUUUUCUCCAGGUUAAGGGAGAAACGGCUGGACAUUUGUUGUGUGUGAAAAUCUGGAUUGAUAUGAAUGAGCUGGCAAGGGCUGGCAAGGUUUAGAGGGGGUCAUGAUCAACCACCAAUAGCUGCACAUUCACUGGUAGUAGCUCCUGGCCAACAGAGGAUAGACCUGGGAAACAGAAGAUGGAGAGGUCAAUGCUGACAGCCAAACCUCACCAACACUGGUAGGACAAAAUCUAGAUAUACCCAGGGAACACCUUGCUCUCAGAUGAACCAAGAUGGAUUUGUGGAGAAGUAUUUUAAUGAGAAUAGCAACUAGCUUUUGUGACAAAAGUCAAUGGUAAGUGACUGGAUAAGUAGUAAAUAUUUAUUUAAAAUAAAUUAUGCAUAUUAUAUUAUAUAUAAUAAAUAUUGAUAUUAGGAAAUAACUGUUAUAUUCAAUAAUAUAAAGAUAUUACCUGGAAGCAGGUACGCCUGAUAACAAGGGCUGGCAUAUGACCUUAGCCUAUCUAUUUCAGCUUCAGGCCUCAAAAUUGUUGUUUCAGCGAGUUAAAUAAAGUGCUGCCUUGCUCUGAAAAUCCUGUCUUGAGUUAGAGAGAAAUAUCCACUGUUUCAUAGUUCUCAGGAGGGCUAUGUUUCUAAUCAGCAUUCUAAUGCAUUUGAGCUCCGUGAAAGACUCCUGUGAACCAAUGCUGCUGAAGCCAGAGACCCAGUCUGUGAAUAGCAGAGCUGUCAGGGCUCUACCCAGAAAAGAACUGGAGGCCACCAAGCUGUGAACUAACAUGAUGCACUCUCACAAGGAGGCCCUAAAGGUCAGAGGCAUCCCUUUGCCAGUAGAAGGCUACACGUAAUUUGGGAACUUCAGUAUCCUUGGUGGGACAGAACAUCCCUCAGAUGUGUAUGAGCACUCGACAUCUCAAAGUGCUUUGCAAAAGCGAGGGAGUUAAUUUUUCACAUUGCCCAAAUAUAGAGCUGGUCCAUGAAGAAAUACCCUAUUCAACAUGUCUGUGCAUCAACAACUGAGCUGUGAAAAGGGUCUACAACUUCUUAUCCUCUUGUGUGCAUGCCAGACCGGAUGUUCCCCCCCUCGGCAGCUUGCCAUUUAUCUUUCAAGAAGGAGGUGAUUCCUAUCUGCUCUACUUUACAUAAAUAAGUUAAUGAACUUGACUGCUAAGGUGAUACCUACAGGAUCAUGUUACCUCCAGCCUGAAGACCACUCUCCAGCUCCAAUCUUCUUAUUGCCUUUAUUGCUAGUAGUCUGGCUCAUAUCUAGACUGAGCCCAGUGGUCUGCAGACCAGGGACAUUCAGGCACAAGGUGAGAAACGGCUAAGCCUUGGAUCCUGCCCCAGUGGGCACUGUGGGUCCCACGAGGCUGAGCCAUGUUGUGCCAUGAACAGGAGCCCACUCUCUCUCAGCAGUAAGCCAUAGGUGGAGACACCAUAUGAGGAUUCAGAGAAGACCCAGGGAUAGAACUUGGCUUGCCCACUGAUUUAUGAAAACUUCGCCAUUUUCUGCUUUAAUGCUUGGGAGUAUUUCCCCAGCAAAUUUUAUUUUUUUCUUAUCUCAUGAUUUUAUGUUUGUUUGUUUCAGGCUCCUGAAGCACAGUCCAAAAGGGUUGAGCCUUGUGACUUGUGGCUGACUGAACACUGCUUUGCAAACACAAAUGUGCCACGGCCACAAAUUGGAAACACUGGGCUUCAGUCCCAGGGAGAUCUCCUUUUGCUUUCCUUGCAGGCUGAGUGGCUUUCCUCAUGGAGUCCGUGUCUGUGCACUGCUAUCCAAAGGCCUCUUCUGGAGAGGCAAGUUGACCUUUGAGCUGACACCACAGCUGUCUGCUAACUGCUAGCCUGUCACAGCUGCAACAUCAUCACUGUAGCAUGAACACUGUCCUCCUCCUCCGUGGAAGGGGCAAACGUGAAAUACAGGGAGGAAUUUGCUACUCUGUUUUGGUUGUAACCUCUGGGAGCCAGUGGCAUUCCCAGUGUGUCCCCCAAAAGUCCUGAUCAUCCUUGUCAGACUUCCUCUCAUUGGUAAUUCAGUAUAACAGCAGGUACAUGUUCUCCCAGUCUCUUCCUCCAGUGUUUGUUGAUUCUGUCUUUACCAGUGGGCACCUCCCAUCUCUGGCACUCCUUCUGCCUCACAGAGAGGACUCAGUUGAUGUCCGUGCCAGUCAGAGAGCACAUUCAGCAUCCAGCUCACAGCCCUGGCCCCUGCUCAGCGGCCAGUGGGAUAGUUUGUUGCCUGUCUGUUGUGCUCAGUUCCCUGCACCCUUUCCAUGGCUGGAUUUUAGCUAUUUGAUAUUUGAGCCUAGAUGAUACCAUUUUCAAAGUCUGGAGCCUCCCUCUGCUGAAGGCCUGUCUCCAGCCUUCCUCUUGCCUCUGUCUCCCACCUUUCUAAAGAAAAGAAUCCAGGUAGAUUUUUUAAAUCAGCUGGCUAUGGAGGCAAAGGGCUAGUCUGGGGGAAGGAGUCCAUCUUCCUUCUGAGAUCUUCUCUGCCGCACUGCUCUCAUGGUGACCUCUUAGGUUGGUCCCCCUGCUCAGAAAAGUCUGUGGACCUUCCUGGGAGAACUGCAGUGUCAUGAAGUUACCCUUGAGAGUGUCGUCCAUAUCACAGUCCAUGCCCCUGGUUGACUGGAAUCUGCUUUAAGGCUUUUACUUUCUGGGGGCAUAGGAGACUGAGAAGAUAAGACAGGAAGAUCAGGAACCAGCAGUUUCAGGCUGUCCCAUCUCCUGAAUUUAUCUAUCUUUCUAUAAGAAAUAUCUGUCUUGGAAGCCAUUUUUGUCUCAUUUUCCACUCCUAAAUAAGCCAGCAAUGACUUCCAUCCUCUUAACCAGUGAUAUGGUUAAGAUAACCAGAAUAUAAACUUGUUUGUGUUUCUCAGUCUACCUACAUUGUGCAUGACUUGUUGAUGCUGUAUACAGAAACCUAUGUGCAUUCCCUGACUACCAGUUAUUUUGUAGUGGCAGCAAUGGCAAAUGAUUGAACUUGAGCUGAUUACUUCAAAAAUAUGUUCCACCCCCUGAGGACAUUAAUACCUUGACAAAUCAACCAUGGUAAAAAUGUAUCUUGUGCACUUUGACUUCACGAGACCACAGUCAUGUCACUGGUCUUGGAACAGAUGGUGAGCCUCAUAUAUAUGUGUGUAUAUAUAUAUAUGUAGGUAGGUAGCUAGGUAGGUAUUUGCUCAAUAUAAACAAAUUGCUGUUAUUCUUUUCCUAACAGUUCAAUCAGCCUAUUUUUCAGAUGUCCUCUGGGAUCUGUAAGUUUUGCUGCUUGGACCGAUCUGUUUGAUGGAUAUUCCCUAGAAUGGGGGAAUAUAAAUCAUCAGUCCAUAAAUGAAAUGCUUCAGGUAGCCCAGAAGUCUUCUGCUGUAACACCCACCUUGACAGGUGCAGUUUUCACACCAAGAAUCAUUUUCAUGCAAUCUGGGAUCUGAGCUAAACAAAGCUGAGAGAAGAACUUUGGCCAGACCGUGUCUUGAGAAAAGGCUUAGGAAAUGGACUUUGUUAUCUGAUUACAUUUGUUGUUAAUAAAAACUUGAUUAUACAGCUAUAAA